UCCCCUCACUUCCCUUCAGAAGAUUAAUUAAUGUGAAGAUCAUCCCUCUUCCCUACAGAACUUGUUGUGUGCACGAAUUGGAGGGUCUGUGCGUUCAGACCUUGUGAGGCAUCGAAUUUGAGUUUUUCUAAAAAUUUUGAUCGCUAUUUUACUGUGAACAAGGUAAUCUAUAAUUGUUAUAUAAUCCUUAGAGUAAACA
rnacentral:lncRNA from 1 species